rnacentral:rRNA from 1 species
UACGUAGGAGACGAGCGUUGUCCGGAGUUACUGGGCGUAAAGGGCGCGUAGGCGGCCACUGCAAGUCAGUUGUGAAAUCUCCGGGCUUAACCCGGAAAGGUCAACUGAUACUGCAGGGCUAGAGUGCAGAAGGGGCAACUGGAAUUCUCGGUGUAGCGGUGAAAUGCGUAGAUAUCGAGAGGAACACCUGCGGCGAAGGCGGGUUGCUGGGCUGACACUGACGCUGAGGCGCGAAAGCCAGGGGAGCGAACGGG